AUUUAAAUAGUUUAUAUUAAAAUAUUGAUUUGUGGUAUCAAAGAAAAUUAAAUUAAUUUUUAAAUU
rnacentral:tRNA from 1 species